rnacentral:tRNA from 4 species
GCCCUUGAAUCCAUCUGGUGGUGGAGCUUGACUGUCGAUCAAGUCGUGGCGAGUUCGAUCCUCGUCAAGGGCG